GUGGGGAAUAUUGCGCAAUGGGCGAAAGCCUGACGCAGCGACGCCGCGUGGGUGAUGAAGGCCUUCGGGUCGUAAAGCCCUGUCGAGCGGGACGAAACGUGCAGGUCCUAACACGGCCUGCAUCUGACGGUACCGCUGGAGGAAGCCCCGGCUAACUCCGUGCCAGCAGCCGCGGUAAUACGGAGGGGGCUAGCGUUAUUCGGAAUUAUUGGGCGUAAAGGGCGUGUAGGCGGCUAUCUAAGUCUCAUGUGAAAGCCCUCGGCUUAACCGAGGAAUUGCAUGGGAAACUGGGUGGCUUGAGUCCGGGAGAGGAGAGCGGAAUUCCCAGUGUAGCGGUGAAAUGCGUAGAUAUUGGGAGGAACACCAGUGGCGAAAGCGGCUCUCUGGACCGGUACUGACGCUGAGACGCGAAAGCUAGGGGAGCAAACGGGAUUAGAAACCCCUGUAGUCC
rnacentral:rRNA from 1 species